ACAUAUAAGUAAGCGGAGGACAAGAAACUAAACAGGAUCCCCAUAGUAAUGGCGAAUGAACCGGGAUAAACUCAGCAUGGAAAUUGGGGCCUUUGGCUUUGACUUGUAAUCUGGUGAGGCAUUGCCAACAGAGGCGCAUAUGUAAGUCUCUUGGAAAAGAGCAUCAACGAAGGUGAGAGUCCUGAUUGUCAUGUGCAGCCCCCCUGUGCACGGUGUGCCUUCUAAGAGUCACGUUCCUUGGGAUUGGAGCGCAAAUUGGGUGGUAACUUUCAUCUGAAGUUAAACAAGGGUUUGGGACCGAUAGGAAACAAGUACCAUGAGGGAAAGGUGAAAAGGACUUUGGAAAGAGAGUUAAAAGUGCCUGAAAUUGCUGAAGGGGAAGCGAAUGGAACCAGUAGUGCUGGGUGAGAUUGUCACAUGCUACAAGGAUUGGUUGCUGCCACAACGCAAGUGUGAUGGCAAUUUGUGAAUUGCUAGUGUGUGGUGUGUCUUACCUAGUGGGUCAUUGUGGGUUUAUGCAUUAAGAUAAGUCAAAGCAAGCGGGAGCAAGUUUACGAGUUUGUGAAUGUGUGUUGUUAUGCUUGUGCGUAAGCUUUAAGGUUUGUCUGGCUGCAGGGCUGUCCAUCCUCGAGCUGAGGGUUGCGAUGAGCAUAACCUUCUGCGCAGAUCUUGACGAAAUGGUUUCAUUCGACCGUCU
rnacentral:rRNA from 1 species